rnacentral:rRNA from 1 species
AUACGUAGGGGGCGAGCGUUGUCCGGAAUUAUUGGGCGUAAAGGGUUCGCAGGCGGUCUGAUAAGUCAGAUGUGAAAGGCAAUGGCUCAACUAUUGUAAGCAUUUGAAACUGUCAGACUUGAGUUAAGGAGAGGAAAGUGGAAUUCCUAGUGUAGCGGUGAAAUGCGUAGAUAUUAGGAGGAAUACCAGUGGCGAAGGCGACUAUCUGGACUUAUACUGACGCUGAGGAACGAAAGCGUGGGGAGCAGACAGGAUUAGAUACCCUGGUAGUCCACGCCGUAAACGAUGAGUGCUAGGUGUUGGGGGUCAAACCUCGGUGCCGCAGCUAACGCAUUAAGCACUCCGCCUGGGGAGUACGUACGCAAGUAUGAAACUCAAAUGAAUUGACGGGG